CUUCUACGCCUUAUCCUUCUAGUGCCCACCCCUUUGGUGCACCAACAAAAAGAGAAAAAAAUCAAAAAGAGAGAGAGAGAGAGAAGUGAGAAAGAGAGAAAGUAUUCUGUCAUCUCGAAGUUCUUCCUCCCAUCCUCUUUUGUGUGAAAGACAUUCGUGCACAAUUUUUCUUGUUGGAUCUUCUUCCUCCGAUCUUGCGAAGAGUCGAAGAAGGAGAUCAGAUCCAAAUCAAAGGAGCG
rnacentral:lncRNA from 1 species